rnacentral:rRNA from 1 species
ACGGCUCAGUAACACGUGGAUAACCUGCCCUAGGGGAGGGGAUAACCCCGGGAAACUGGGGAUAAUACCCUAUAGGUUACAGAUGCUGGAAUGCCCUGUAACCAAAAGCUCCGGCGCCCUAGGAUGGAUCUGCGGCCGAUUAGGUUGUUGUUGGGGUAACGGCCCAACAAGCCCGUAAUCGGUACGGGUUGUGGGAGCAAGAGCCCGGAGUUGGAUUCUGAGACACGAAUCCAGGCCCUACGGGGCGCAGCAGGCGCGAAACCUUUACAAUGCGGGCAACCGUGAUAAGGGAACCUCGAGUGCCUGUAAACGCAGGCUGUUCAGGUGUUUAGAACGCACCUGGAGAAAGGGCCGGGCAAGACCGGUGCCAGCCGCCGCGGUAAUACCGGCGGCUCGAGUGGUGGCCGCUUUUAUUGGGCUUAAAGCGUUCGUAGCUGGGUUGUUAAGUCUCUUGGGAAAUCUGGCGGCUUAACCGUCAGGCGUCUAAGGGAUACUGGCAAUCUUGGAACCGGGAGAGGUGAGGGGUACUUCGGGGGUAGGGGUGAAAUCCUGUAAUCCUCGAGGGACCACCUGUGGCGAAGGCGCCUCACCAGAACGGCUUCGACAGUGAGGGACGAAAGCUGGGGGAGCAAACCGGAUUAGAUACCCGGGUAGUCCCAGCCGUAAACGAUGCGCGUUAGGUGUAUCGGUGACCACGAGUUACCGAGGUGCCGAAGGGAAACCGUGAAACGCGCCGCCUGGGAAGUACGGUCGCAAGGCUGAAACUUAAAGGAAUUGGCGGGGGAGCAC